GAAAACAACCUUAAAUUGUUUUGAAGCUUUAGCAUCUGAAUUGAUCAAAAUCAAAUUUCAAAUUGUCUCCUUCCAUUCUUCUCUUGUCUGAUUUCAAUCAUUGAAACUUCAUACAAAUUGUAAUCAAAAUCUCAUAUAGCUUUAGGGGUACUAAAGUGUUAGUUUGAGCAAAGUUUGUAAAAGUCUAAGUGGGUAACUUAACAAGAAGGUGCAAGCCUGCUGAGACUUAGAGAAUAUAUGUGUUGUAAUUGUUCAGUUGAACAAAGAUUGUAAGGUGUAGGAUUUGAGAGGUUAUCUCAAGCAUCAUAGUUGAAACUCUCACAAGAUUGCGAG
rnacentral:lncRNA from 1 species